AUGCCUCGUUGGUUCUGAUGAAACUCACAGAGAUAGCUCAAAAUUCCUGGCCAUUUCAUAGUUUAGCCUCGUUUGGUAAAUACUAUUUAGUUGCAGAGCUUAGUGAGUGGCUGGUUUUAUGGAACUGAAUAUUUGAGCCAUAUUCUGUGAGUGAUUUUGUGUGUUCCCCCAUCGGAGAGGCAUUCAUGCUGUGCUGGUUAUGUUGAGUUUGUGGGAGUGGAGAAAUGUCAAAAAAUGAUGUUGUAGAAUGUUAGGCACAUAUGAACAUUAUUUAUUAUUGAUAGAUUAUGCCAGCUUCCAUGGAAUUCUUGUUAAACUGUGUGAUUGUGUAUUCUUUCUUCUCCAGGAGUUCUAAUACUAUGCCAUUCUUGUAUGAUUUUCCACUUCUGUAUGUAGUGAUCAUGCAUGUAACACCUGUCCAUUGAUCCGGGAUGUAAUGUAGUAGGUGUGGCAGUGUACAUAUUUUAUCCAAAGAGGGUACAUUCUCAUCUUGGAACCAGGGAAAGCUCACGGGUAGCACAAGUCCAAGCAUCUCUGUUGUCUUACUGAAAGGUAACAAACAUCUCUGCUGUCUUACUGUCUUUCAGCUGAGUAUUAUUCUCUCUUGUUUGGACUAGACUUGUGGCUUAUGCUGAUAGGAUUUCCAUGGUGUUGACCAUUUUAGGGAUUAUAAUACCAAGACAGUUUUUUUUACUGCCUUUACUUGCUUGUUUCUGCCCAAUAAUUGAAGUUAACUUUCAUUUGGGCCAUGAUUGAAAGUUAACUUUGUGACACUGGUCUAACCACUCACGCACUAUCUGCCUGGCUUAUGACGGAGGCAGAUAGAUCUUAGACGAAAGCAAAAUCCACUCUCCGAGUAGAGACUGUAGAGUGUGGUCGUUGCAGAGGCCGUGAUGCUCCAGUCGAAUCCUGACUUCCCUAGGCAACGAUCCUGGAAAGCGAGAUCAGACUCCCACGGUCCAUUUCUAUCCGCAUCACUCGAGUGAGUUGACGGCAACUACCACUCCGUGUCGUCCCGUGAUAACUCACUCGUCACAUCGCGUCCAACAGGAAGGACAAGGGCGCCACUCCAAAGUCCAAAAGCGCCCGUGCCCCGUCCAAUAGCUCCACGGCGAAUAAUAAUGCAAAAGCUGCCCCGUCCAACCUGACUUAGCCUACCAAAAAACAAAUCCCUGCACAGCCCGCGGUGGAAAGCACAUGUCAAUCCCGCGCCUACGUGCUGCUACUCUACAAUAAAGUCCGUCCGUAUAGUCCAUCCAACCCGCAGUGAAAAAUACUCUGCCCCGCAAUACAGCCAGCCAUUGACCAGCAACAGCACGCGCUGUCCGUCCGUAGCUCGCUCGGCCACUCUGCUCCUGCCUACACUCACUCACUCGUUCAUGCACCGCACCUCGCCGGCCGGCCGCCCGGCUCCCUCCACAUCCACGUCCAUGGCAACCACCGGCGACGCCUGCCUGCCUCUCCUCCUGCUCCUCCUGUCGCCGCUGAUCAUCUCCUCGUCCUCAGCGGCAGCGGUGGAAGCAGAAGCAGAGCAGCCGGUACACGACCUCCUGCUUAGCUUCAAGGCCUCCCUGCACGACCCCGCCGGCGCCCUCGCCACCUGGUCCAGCUCCACGCCCUACUGCAACUGGUCGCACGUCACCUGCACGGACUCCUCCUCCUCCGCUUCUUCGCCCGUCGCCGUCUCGCUCCAGCUCCAGGGCCUCGGCCUCUCCGGCGACAUCAACGCCACCGCGCUCUGCCGCGUCCCGGGCCUCGCCGGCCUCAGCCUCGCGUCCAACGCCUUCAACCAGACCGUCCCGCUGCAGCUCUCGCGCUGCGCCUCGCUCGCCGCCCUCAACCUCAGCUCCGGCGCCUUCUGGGGCCCGCUGCCGGAGCAGCUCGCGGCGCUCGCCUCUCUCACGUCGCUCGACCUUAGCGGCAACGACAUCGAGGGGACCGUGCCGCCGGGCCUCGCCGCGCUGCGGGCGCUCCAGGUGCUCGACCUGCGCGGCAACCGCCUCUCCGGCGUGCUCCACCCGGCGCUCUUCCGCAACCUCACCAGCCUCCACUACCUGGACCUGUCCGGCAACCAGUUCUUGGAGUCCCAGCUGCCGCCGGAGCUCGGCGGGAUGGCCAGCCUCAGGUGGCUCUUCUUGCAGGGGUCAGGGUUUAGCGGCGAGAUACCCGAGACCUUCCUUAGGCUGGAGCAGCUGGAGGCUCUUGAUCUGUCCAUGAACAGCUUGACCGGACCCGUUCCUCCGGGGUUCGGCCUCAAGUUUCAGAAGCUGCUGUCCCUGGAUUUGUCGCGCAAUGGCUUCUCUGGGCCGUUCCCCAACGGCGUCGACAAGUGCCUCAUGCUGCAGAGGUUCGAGGUGCAGGGCAACGCGUUCACCGGGGAGCUCCCCGCCGGCCUCUGGUCUCUGCCGGACUUGCAGGUCAUCCGCGCCGAGAACAACCGCUUCUCCGGCCGGCUGCCCGAGUUCCCCGGCGGCGUGUCUCGGCUGGAGCAGGUUCAGGUUGACAACAACAGCUUCUCCGGCGCGAUACCUCAGAGCAUCGGCCUGAUCCGCACCAUGUACCGCUUCUCCGCCUCACUGAACGAGCUCAACGGCAGCCUGCCGGACAACCUGUGCGACUCCCCGGCGAUGAGCAUCAUCAACAUCUCCCACAAUGCCAUCUCCGGCUCGAUCCCCGACUUCAAGAACUGCAAGAGGCUGGUAUCCUUGUCCUUGUCCAGCAACGGUCUCACCGGGACGAUACCAGCCUCUCUUGGGGACUUGCCGGUGCUGACCUACAUCGACCUGUCCAGCAAUGGCCUCACCGGCGCCAUUCCGGCAGAGCUCCAGAACCUGAAGCUUGCGUUGCUCAACGUCUCGUACAACCGGCUCUCCGGCCGCGUGCCUCCGGAGCUGGUCUCCGGCCUUCCCGCCGUGUUUCUUGAGGGGAACCCAGGCCUGUGCGGUCCAGGGUUGCCGAGCGAUUGCGAUGCGCCAUUGAGAAAGCAUCAGGGCCUAGCACUGGCUGCGACGGUGGCCUCCUUCGUUACAGGAUUGGCUCUGUUGGCAGUAGGGGUGUUUGCAGUUUGCAGGAGGAUACGUGGCAACAGGCCCUCCUCCCCAUGGAAGCUGGUGCUUUUCCACCCAAUCAAGAUCACCGGAGAGGACUUGUUCGCCGCGUUCCACGACAAGAAUGUGAUCGGAAGAGGAGCAUUUGGAAAGGUUUAUCUGAUCGUGUUACAAGACGGGCAAAAAGUCGCGGUGAAGCGGCUGUUCAGUUCAGCCAAGCUGACAUUCAGAGAAGUGAAGAACGAGAUGAAAGCGCUGGCGAAAAUCCGGCACAAGAAUAUUGCCAAGAUUGCAGGCUUCUGCUACUCGGAAGGGGAGGUCAGCGUCAUAUAUGAAUACUUUCAGAGAGGAAGCUUACAGGAUAUGAUCUGUGCGCCGAAAUUCGCGGUGGGAUGGAACGACAGGUUGAAGGUUGCACUGGGAGUAGCUCAAGGAUUGGCAUAUCUUCAUCAUGAUUAUACUCCUCGCAUGCUGCACCGCGAUCUGAAGUCGAGCAAUGUGCUACUUGCCGAUGAAUUUGAGCCCAGGGUUGCUGGGUUUGGGAUUCAUCGUGUCGUUGGGGAAAAGGCGUACCGAUCUUCCUUGGAUUCGGAUUUGAAUGACAAGUGCUACAUCGCGCCAGGUAUGCAUUUCUGUAGUGUAGUUGAAUCAGUACACCAGGUUUUGAAGAGCCUGGCACCCUAUCCUAUGCAUUUGCAAGGUGUUCGCCUUGUUACCAAUUUGUUUUAUGGCUACAUAUCAAGAAGGUAGAGUUGGUGCUAUUACCAUUGAAUAGAUUUAUGGCUGCAUAAAUUUUUACUGAAGUUCUCUUCUGUUUUCGUGAAACCAGAGCAAAACUUCACAAAGAGCCCAACGAACCUCAUGGACGUCUACAGCUUUGGGGUCAUUCUCCUGGAGCUGAUCACCGGAAGGCCAGCAGAGCAGCCGGCGUCCAAGGACUGCUCGGACAUUGUUAGCUGGGUGCGGAGGCGGAUCAACCUGAUCGACGGCGCAUCGCAGAUACUCGACCCCAGCAUUCCCCACACGGAGCAACAGGGCAUGAAGGCUGCCCUGGAGCUCGCGGUGCGCUGCACGUCGGUGAAGCCUGACCAGAGGCCGGACAUGUAUCAAGUUGUGAGGUCGCUGCAGGCGCUGUAGUUUGUACCUUUCAUCCACGGACACCACCAUACUCUGAAGUUGCUAUAUGAUCUUUGACUGGAGAAGCACUUCGGUUUGUGAUAUUCUGAGUUCAGACCAUCUGUUACCAUGUAUUUCGUGCCUGUUGUGUAUAUUUGUGUGAUUGUCAUGACAUUGACAGAAUAAAUAGAAAUAAGACGCCUGUGUGAUUCGCUUGUUUAUUCAGCCAGCAGCUUUGAAGCACAAAAAGAGCUUCAGUAGAACAAGUCAGUGAGCAGUUUUGAAGUAUACAAAACGAGCUUCAGAAGAACAUGUCAUGCAUACAGCGAUUAAACAACAAUUCCAAGUUGCAAAUAUCUGAAAAUCCUCCUCUCUUAUUCCAUCAUAAUAUGAUGAACAUAAGUUUUACAAACAUCGAUUAUUACAUUACAGGACAUAAACACACAAAAGAUGAUAGGGACUAGAGUACAAACCAACAACAGUACUGAAGCAAAUUAUUUUAGGAAACAGAUGAAUUAAAACAAACUAUUGGCUACAAUAGGCAAUUACACUGCCAGUUCUUCAGUGCUUCUCCAUAUGAGAGGCUCUUGCUCAGGCAUGAUAAACUCUUCAGUGCCUCUCCAUAUGAGAGGCUCUUGCUCAGGCAUGAUAAACAUAACUUCCACCGAUGUGGCCGGUGGUGCUCACUAUGUCGCCAAUCUGCUUGGCGACGCAUCAAUCCUCCAAAUCUUGCUCACGUUCAGCCCGGACCCUUGCCCGGGUCUGAUAAACUUUUCUUCGUGCACUUAUGUUGCAGUUAUUCACUAUGUCGCUGAGAAAGUACCAGCAGAUUGUGCUCUGUGGAGGCCCCGGAACGACACCAGCACCAGCAACGGGAAGGCAAGGUGUAGACCUCCCAGUCCCCAUGUCAAAGACCAUGCCCUGAUCCCUGCCCCUCCCGCCGAUCCAAUACACGCAAUUACCCUUCAGUCCUGGAACAUCUUCAGCAUACAUCGAUACCGCAUUGUUCCUCCCAACAAACACCGAGUAGCCUCCCAAGUCCGUCACGGCAUCCCAGCAUGGUUGGCGCCGGGGAUAAUACCUGAGAACAAGUAUUUCAUUCUCGGCUACACGGCGGUGACCGCCUCCUGGCAGCUGCAAAGUAACCGUGCAGCUUGCAUUCCUCCAGAUUUGAUACAGAUUACCGUCGCAGAACACCAGGUUCUUGGCACUAGUAAAAACCGACACCGUGUUGUAUGGCGCGGCAAAACAGGUAGCAGGGUCGAACGGUAGGUUGCACUCAGACAACAUGGGCUCGACUGUGGCCGGUGCAUUUAGAUCCGGUCCGACAGAUCCAGGAGGAACUCUCCUAAGAGGCAUAAACACAUCUGGGCAGAAGGCAGCCUUCAUUGUAGCAAUUGGAAGCUGCUGCUCUCUCCAUCUACGAUGUUCAUAGCAGAGCAUGCGCAAGUUGCGCUGUCUUCUUCCCUGAAGACUGAGUGAGGGACGCCCUAAAGGCAUCUCUGGCUCUGAUGGGCCAGCUGGAUCCUCGACGACGAUAGGCUUCCUGCGGCGGCGCUCCGGCAGGCGGAGCACGUGGACAUCUCCAUAGCGGGUGAGGCAGUAGACCCUACCUUUUUCAUGGUAGACGACAUCGGCGAGCUGAUCUCCGCUGGAGAGGCGAACGGGAUCGAGGAUGGCCCACCUCCUGGCCCCCGCGGUGACGUAGGCGAGCCUGUCGAUGUCGCAGAUGGCGGCGGCGGCGAAGUCGUCCCUGGCGGGGUUGGGCGCGAAGACGAGCUUGGAGACCCAGCGGCUCUCGUAGAUCAGCGGCGGCAGAAGGAUCUCCGUGGCGGUGAUGGGGUUGAAGAGGCUGAACAUGCUCUGGCCGCCGUAGAGGCAGACGGAGAGGGCGAGCCAGCCGUUGCUGGAGCCGACGCAUCGGCCCCCCGAGAGGAUGUUCUUGAGCUCGAAGGAGCGGUGGGUGGGGAGCGACGCGGCGGACGGGCAGCACCUGGCGUCGUCGAGGACGACGAGGAGCGACGGGGACGGCGGCGAGAGCGCGCAUCGCCAGGCCGUGCAGGCGCCCCGCGCGCUGGCGUAGCACUUGAGGUCGAGGCUGUCGCCGAUGCGGCAGAGGAGGUCCGCCGGCAGAUCCGCCCAGCGCCGGAACGGCGGCAUGGCGGCGGCGGCGGGCGGGCUGUGUCUGGGAAUGGUGGCUAGGCCAUCGGGUCCUAGGGUUUCAUCUGCCGGAAUGGAGGCGAUUGCGAGGUUGGGGAAUUUUAUGCUCCAUUGUCGGGUGGGCAUCUUUCGGACAAGCACCUGGGGUUCUUCCAGAUUGGCGAGCUGGUCCGGGCGCCGCGAAUGAGGGCCGCGUGUCUCCCUGCCCGUCCUAACGGGUUUCCCACACCUGCCGGAUCUCACAUCUUUUUUUUUUUGAGACAACUCACGAAGCUUUUUAUUGAUUCGUCACAAUGUUUACAGGGACGAAAGAAAGAUCUCCGGGAUGGCCUAACCACACAUGGCGUCCACCCCCGAAAGAUAGAGCAUGCUUCGCUAAGUUGUGAGCUUCAUAAUUUGAGCUCCUAAAUUCAUGGCUAACCUUACACAUAUCGAAAGUUAUAGAAUGGCUUAAAAUUUCAUGUACAAUAGCACCAUAUGGAGAUGCGUCCUCCUUCUUCAGGGAGUCUACUACCUUCUUGCAAUCCGAUGCAACAUGAAUGCGCCUUUGGUACAAGUCCUCCGCAAGUGCAAGUCCCUCCCUUAUCGCCAUGGCCUCUAGCGUUUCCGGAUCCCCAAUAUGCUCCAUGAUCAGCGCAGAAGCUCCCAAAAACAGAACAUCUGAACUUCUGCAGAUUGCACCCACAACCCCGAAGCGAGCCUGCCUUGGUGCGGCCGCGUCCACAUUGAUCUUCACGCAUCCCGUGGCCGGAGCCUGCCACUGGGUUGGCCUUGUAGCUUUGACAAUGGUCCUUCGAGGUUCACUUGCCUUAAUAUAUCUCAGGUCAUCAAGAAAGCUUGUGAUAAAUCCAUAAAUAGAUUGCGGUGAUUGGAAGAUGUCCUCAUAGAUCGUUUUCCUUCGGGCUCGCCAAAUCGCCCACAUAAUAACAAUCAUGUGUGCAAACAUAUCUCUGUUCAAAACUCCACUCAUAGCAAAAAGCCAAUCCUUGGGAUGUUCUUCCACUCUAUACACAAGAUGAUUGACCAAAUCCUCCGGAGCUAAGGCCCAAACACUGCUUGACAUCGGACACAUAAAGAGUGCAUGUCUCCAAGAGUCAGCCGCCCCGCACAAAGGGCACUUGUCCUCGGUAGCCAUAUUGCGAUGCUUGAGUAAAUCAAUAGUGGGCAUGGAGUUUCUCGCCAAUCUCCAAACGAACAUGCGAAGUUUCGAUGGAACCUGCAUGUGCCAAAUGGUACUCCACUUAUCCGCCUCCUGCUGCACAAUAGAUGUUCCCGCUUCUCCGCUCAUCCAGGCCUCCCGUUCGAGCUUCGUUCUGAGAAUCAUGCGAUAACAGGAUCGAACACUGAAAUUUCCUUUUGGUUCUUCCUGCCAAGCCCAAAAGUCCGCAACCUUGCGAGUACACAGUGGUAUCUUCAGAAUAUCGUCGGCAUCAAAACGAGCAAAGGUUGCUCGAAUCAACCCCUCCUUCCACGAUGCCGUGGUACUGUCUAUAAGCUCGGAGACCAUAACUGGAGGGUUUUGCGUUAGCGAUGUGAUAGGUCUUCUUACUCCUUCCCUCGGUAUCCAGUUGUGUCUCCAGAUAUAAGUGGACUCGCCAUCUCCAAUCCUCUUCACAGUACCUUGUAUCAAAACAUCCCGACCGUCAAUGAUCGAGCGCCAUACCUGGGAAGGGCGUGACCCAAGCUCCGCCUCAAGAAUAGAAACCUCCGAAAAAUAAACGUCCUUUAAAAUCCUGGCACUUAAGCUGAGCUCCCCCGUUAGCAGCCUCCAAGCUUGCCGUGCUAGGAGAGCUAAGUUGAAGAUCUCCAUAUCCCGAAAUCCCAAUCCUCCCAAGCUUUUCGGGCUUGUCAUAAUAUCCCAAGCCACCCAUGCGGGCUUUCUUCUCCCCUGCUUGCUUCCCCACCAAAAUUGUCGUAUGAUUGAAGUUAUAUUUUCACAAAGGCCUCUUGGCAAUCUGAAACAGGACAUAGAAUAGACUGGUAUAGCUUGGGCCACAACCUUGAUUAACACUUCUUUACCUGCUGAGGACAAAAGCUUCUCCAUCCAUCCUUUGAUCUUCUCCCAAACCCGGUCUCUCAAGUAUUUGAACGUGCCAUUUUUCGAGCGUCCCACAUCGGUUGGCAUGCCUAAAUAGCGUUCAUUCAAAGUCUCCUUGUGCACAUGCAAGGUGUUUUUUAUUGAUUCCUUCAAGGCAGCCUGACACGACUUGCUGAAGAAAAUUGAAGACUUCUCAUGGUUGAUUCUCUGCCCCGAAGCUGCACAGUAGGUCUCAAGCAAGUUUGAUGCCACACCUGCACCCUCUACAUUGGCUUUGAAUAGCAACAUGCUAUCAUUUGCAAACAACAAGUGGUUAACGGUGGGAGCCGUUGGGGCCACUUGAAUACCUGCAAACGAUGACGAAGAACUAGAUUUAAGGAGGCACGAAAGGCCCUCUGCUACAAUCAAGAAUAAGUAGGGGGAGAUUGGAUCUCCUUGUCGGAUUCCUCUCGAUGGUUGGAACGAUUCGAGCUUCUCUCUGUUGAACAUAACCGAGAAAGAUACCGAAGACACCAUGCUCAUCACAGUAUCAAUCCACUGUCCUGCAAACCCAAGUUUAGUCAUGAUAGCCCUCAAAUAUGUCCACUCUACCCGAUCAUAGGCCUUCAUCAUGUCCAAUUUCAGUGCACAAAAAUUAUUUGAUUUUGAUCUAGACCGCUUCAUAAAAUGCAGACACUCAUAAGCUGAAAUUAUGUUGUCAGUAAUUAACCUUCCGGGGACGAAAGCGGACUGCUCCUCAGAGAUAAUGUCUGGCAGAAUGAGUUUCAGUCUAUUUGCAAUUACCUUGGAUGCUAUUUUGUAUAACACAUUGCACAGACUAAUAGGUCUAUACUGAGAUAAAGCAGUGGGGCUUGUUACCUUGGGUAUGAGCACUAAAACCGUAUCAUUAAUGCAUUCCGGAUUCUCCUCCCCUCAGACUAUCCUCAAGAUAAUUUUUGUUACCUCCUCUCCACACACAUCCCAGUGUCUUUGGUAAAAAUGAGCCGGGAAACCAUCGGGACCCGGUGCUUUUGUUGUAAACAUCUGAAAGAGGGCAAUCUUAACCUCCUCAUUCGUAUAAGGGGCACAUAGUGAGGCAUUCAUCUCUGCUGACACCUUCCUCGGAACAUGAUCAAGUACUGCGUCCAUGUUUUGUACUCCCUCCGAAGUGUACAAAUUGUGAUAGAAAUCAUUGGCUAACGCCCGUAGCUCUGUCGGAUCAUCAACCACUACCCCGAGGGAAUUUUGGAGGGCUUUUAUCAUGUUUUUCUUCCUUCGGAUACUAGCUCGUAGAUGAAAAAACUUCGUGUUGAGAUCGCCGGCAUUGAGCCAUUCUAUCCUGGAUCUUUGCCUCCACAUAACUUCGUCACGAUGAUACAUCUCGAUCAUAUUUUGGUUUAUUUUCAACUCAUUAUGUGAGGGAGCUAUCCUUGCUGGGUCGGCCCGCAGUUCUUCCAACUCCUUCUUAAGCCUCUUUAUUUCCUUUCGGACGCUGCCGAAAGUGUCUCUGCUCCAUUUAACUAGGCCCUGUGAGAUGGUUUGCAGUUUCUGUUUCAAAUCCUCCACCGACAGACAUGGAGGGCUAGCUUCCCAAUCUGCUGAAACCACUUCCUUAAAACCAUCAUGUGAUUCCCACAUCAACUCGUACUUAAAUGAUUUUUGUGCUUGCAACCGAUCUGUCUCUCCGAACUCCACCAAAAUCGGUACGUGAUCCGACGUGGCGCAUGUGAGAUGUGAAACCGCGGCCAUAGAAAACUUGUUCAUCCAUCCCGCAUUAGCUAAAGCUCUGUCCAACCUACAUCUUGUGUAGCUUCCUCCAGCGACUUUUUUCUCAAAAGUCCAAAAGUGCCCCGGGUAGCCCAAAUCUUGCAACAUGCAAAUAUCUAUAGUAUCUCGGAAUGCUUGUAUUUGAGCAUUACUCCGCUGCCCAACCCCUUCAUGCUCUUCCGGACGUAAAACUUCGUUGAAAUCACCCACGCACAACCACGACAAGGAGCUCAAAGUACUGAUAUUCUUCAAAACUGUCCAGGUUUGGUGUCUCAAAUUUGUUUGUGCUUCCCCAUAUACACAUGUCAGCCUCCACCUGUCCUGGUUCUGUUCCUCAACCAAAACAUCCAAGUGAUAAACAGAGUAACCAAAAAUCUCAACCUUUAUUGAAUUAUUCCAAAACAGACCAAUACCACCACUUCAGCCCUGACUACUGACAGCAUAUGCAUUAUCAUAACCCAACAUACUAGAUAAAGCUUCUACCCUAUUACCAUCUAUUUGUGUUUCAACUAUGCACAACAGGGUAGGGGCAAAUUGCCUCGCGAAAUCACGAAGCUCACGAACCGUCGCGGCUUUGCCCGCGCCGCGGCAGUUCCAUACAAAGGUACUCAUUGACCUCGGCGGCGCCCGUCGCUCGGGCCCGCCAUCUUCAUAUCACCUUUAACCUGCACGUUUGUUCUAGCCACGUUGGUCUUUUCCGAUUCGUUGAGUGUCUUCGCCCUCUUCAUGUCCUGUGAGCCGCUAGGACUUGGUGGUGCCCCCGACAAUGGGAGGGCAAGCUGUAGGACCUGAUCCUUGCUAAGAGUCGCAUGAGGAGCCACCUGCGGGAUCAAGUUUGGGGCCCUUUUCCUAGUAUAAUCUGCUUCUUGCAUCUCUAGAUCAUCAGUUGCAUUGUCCGCACCAUACGCCUCUGUCUCUUCAGGUCUGCCUCUCUCACCCCUGCCACUGCCCCCGUUGCGGCCUCCUCUGCGGCCUCCUCUACGCCCACUGCCAUUCCCAGGGCCACGACCAGAUCUCAUGGUCCAAGUUGCUCUAAGCUCCUUAAAAACCAGUGCCGAAGGAGGGUGGAUUCCGUUUCCAUGUUCUUUGAACAGAUGCCCAAGCAUUCCUCACACGGCGCACCAAUCGGGUAACUUUUCAUACUUCACACGAUAGAUCUGACGUUUACCAUCACGGAUCAUUGAGACAGCGUUUUUGAGGGGCUUCAUGACAUCAAUCCUCACCCAAACCCGGUGGAAAUUACCAACAAAAUCCUGUGAAUUUGGUUCUGCAUAUAGCACCUCUCCAAUUUUUGAUGCCAGGGACGGCACUAGGUGCGCAUACAAGUCUGGCACAUCAUGUAUCUGCACCCAGAUCUCGAUGGUAUCCAGCGGAAUAGUUGAUGGUUUUGCAAGUCCAUCAUACGGUUUGAUAAUUACAACAUCCCCACGAAAGUGCCAAGGACCCUCCAGAGUGACUCGCUCCCAAUCUCCUAAACAAGAGAAUUGGAUCGUGUAUAGAUUAUCAUCUGAAGGUUUGAACUUCACCUCUUGCGCUAGAUCCCACGCAGCCCUCAUAUUCUUGAAGAACCAAUAUUGACUAUAUGUCUUGCUUGAGUGAACCCUGGCCACAGCGAUCCAACGAACAGCGUCUGGCGGCGCCUCUUUCUCGUCAAAAACGACAUCGUCCAGAUCUUCCUCCCGCAAUCCAAGCUCCUUCAUCAUCCUCUCCAUCUCCUCAUCGACCCUCUGAUUCGCAGCCGCCUUUCCCGGUUCCCCGACUGACGACAUCUCGAUCCCUAGCCCGACUAUCACCGAUCGGACCUUGUUUAUGGAACCCUAGACCCUCCGCACUUCCCCGCAACGUCAGAGCGAAGAAGGAGAGGAUACAACGGAGGUAGGGGAAGAAAUCUCGACGGCGGCGCAGAUCGCCUCCGGGAGGACCCAAAACCCUAACGAGAGGGAAGCUCCCCGGAUCUCACAUCUCGACGCCGUUGUUCGGGUCAAGGCGGAGACCGGCCACUCACUUGAUACAGCCCAGCUCGCCAUGUUCGGCUGGGCUUGCUCGGCCUUAUUUCUGUUCCGACUUCCGAGGCUCAAUAUGUUGCGAGUUGUUUUUCUCAACAACAACAAAAAAUAAAAAUAGUUGCGAGUUGUUAUCACCACAAUGAGAAAGAUUGCAAAUAAAAAAUAGGAACACGAUGAGAGAGUGUGCAUUCGCUAAAGAAAAAGAAAAGGAAAAAAAAGAGAGAUAGAAAAACAAACUAUGCAUUACUGAUGAUUUUUUUAUUCGCAUGAGCGCAGAUGUAUUACAUGCAACUUCUUUACAUAAAGUUCUACUUCCUCCGUUCCAAAAUAGAUGACUCAACAUUUUACUAACUUCAAUAUAAAAUUAGUAUAAAAGUUGAGUCAUCUAUUUUGAAACGGAGGGAGUAGAUACAUACAGUCAGAAUUUGGGUCAGUUGGUUAGCUUGGCAAAAUCUACUUUUUUUAGUCCCAACACUUUUGCUAUCGCAUGAUCUGAGAUUUGUCAAAUUUUGCAUAUUGAUGGUGAAGCUCUCUCUGACAAGUAUCUUGGGUUGCCUACCAUGGUGUGUGUAGACAUGAGUGAUUGUUUCAGGCACUUUAUUGAGAGAAUAAAACAGAGAAUUCAAGGAUAGAUGGAAAACCGUUAUCUGCUGGAGAUAAGGAAUUGUGGCCCAAGCUAUACUAGUGUUUGCUAUGUCAGUGUUUUAUCUUCCCAAGGGAAUUUCUAAAGAGGUUACUGGUAUAAUUGCCUAGUUUGGUGAGAGGGGAGGUGAUGAGCAGCAUAAAAAGAUGCAUUAAUAUUCACGGUGGAAACUUUGCUAUCUUAAAAGUGAAGGAGGUAUAGGAUACAUGGAUCUUUACUCUUUUAAUCUUGCAUUGUUAUCUAAGCAAUGUUGGAGGUUAAUUACAAACCCAAAAUCUCUUUGUGCUCAAGUGGUGAAAGCAAAAUACUAUCCCAAAAUGAAGGCUCAUUGCAAGCUAGCCUCAAGAGUGACUCAUCAUUUACAUGGUAGAGUAUAAUGAAAAGGGUUGGGUGUUUUUAAGCAUGGACAUAUCUGGCGAAUUAGUUAUGGUGAUGAAGUUAAUAUAUGGAAUGAGCCUAGAUCCCUUCAAGCCCGAAUAGGAAGACUAUAACAUACAUAUUUUUAACAAAGUUAAUGAUAUCAUUGACCCUACGUCCAGGUUGUGGGAUGAAGAGCUAAACCGACAAAUAUUCAAUCCAGUGGAUGCUCGAAGAAUCUUACGAAUUGUGCUUCACUACCAAGCAUUUGAAGACUAUCGCAUGGCACCCUGAGGGAAAGGAAUAUUUUCAAUCCUCUCGGCUUAUCACAUCCAGAGGAUUCAUACUUUCAGGCGCCAUGCAAGAACCCUUUUAAGCUCGGAAAGCUCCAUGACUCCGGAGGUCUAGAUUACUACUACUCGCGAUGGAGUUGUCGGAUUUCCCCGAAGAUAGUAUUUCCCUCGGUUAAGAACCAAGGUUUGUCGAACCUGUAGGAGGCAAAAAACGAACCUUUAGCAGCACCUGCACACAAACAAAAUGCACCCAACAAAGGCAAGGGGUCGUCACUCCCCUUGUUCUUUCCAGCCACAAGAUUAAAAUUGAUAGUGAUAUGCAAAGUAAUAAAAAGUAAAAAGUAAAUAAAAGAAAGCAAAUAGAGCAAUUUUGGAGACUUAGUGUUAAUGAAGAAUAGACCGGGGGGGGCAUAGUUUCACUAGUGGUGUCUACAUAAGCAUUACGUCCGUGGCAAAUAGAUCGUCAAUCCAACUGCAUCCACUACUAUUACUCCACCCCAAGGCUGUUAUCUAGCAUGCAUCUCAAAGUAUUAAGUUCAUACAAAUAGAGUAACACUUUAAGCAAGAUGGCAUAAUGUAGACAAAGUAAGAUCAAUCAAUAUGACCAAACCUCAUCACUUUAUCUUUACUAGAAACAAUGCAAUACGUGCCCCUUCCUUUACUGUCACUAGGCAGGAUCACCGCAAGAUUGAACCUUCCACUAAGUACCUCUCUGCGAAAGAUAAAUCAAUCAAACUUGGCCAAAGUAGAUAGAUAGAUCGAAUAGAAAUAAAAAGCUAUAAAAUUAUGCAACAAACACUACAAAAAAUACACUUCCGUGAUGGUACGUGUUUGUCACAAUAGGUCACGUUUUCUGUCUGCAUGUACAUCCAUGAUGAUUUUAUGACAGAAUCAAGAUAGUCAUACCUGUGCUGUCGUAGAAGUGUUCCAUGACAUUACCAAAAUUAUCAUCACGGAAGUGUCCACUUCCAUGAUGAUAAAUCGCGCGUCAUAGAUGUGCUUUCGUCAAGGGUGACCGACACAUGACAUCGACCAUAACGGCUCGCCGUUAAGCUAUCAGGUCCAGUUUUGGAUCCGAUAACCCGUUAACAACCCAGACCAAUGGGGAUUUUCCACAUGUAAAAUUCUCAUUGGCGGAGGAAACACGUGUUGCCUCAUCGUUGGGACAGAUGUCAUCCACUCAUUGGACAUGAGCCGCCUAUAAUACAUCAACACGUGGCAUGACCCAACAGAGGCCCAUUCCGGUGAAAAGGUCGGGCCUGUCAAAAUAAGCUGGUCGGCCCAUUAGCGACCUACUUGAGUCAGGCCCAUUUACAGGUACGGCCCAUACAAGUUACACAGAAUCGGCCUAUCAAAGGCCCAUUCUAGAUUGUACAAUUUCCAGCCCAUCGUCAGUUUAAGCCCGUUAACGGCCCACUACGGUUUUGGGCCCAAUUGCGGCCCGAGCUGCUUUCGGCCUGUUAGCAGCCCAUCGUCAGUUCUAGCCCGUUAACGGUUUGAAACGUCUUUCGGCCUUUUCUCGGCCCAUUCUGUAGUUGGGCCAAUUCUAGCCCGCUGUGACUUUAGGCCUGUCCUUGGCCCAUUCAGUAAAUGGGCCAACUCUUAGCCCAUUUUAUCCCUCGGCAUGUUAACGGCCCGCACAACAGUUGGGCCUUUGACUUUAGGUUCAUUAGGGGCCCAUGUUCCGCAAGGCAUCAUUUCAAACACGACUUUAAACCUGUUAAGCCUAGUUUGCAAAUUGGGCCUCCUUUGGCCCAUAAUACUUUCGGCUUCUUACUAGCCAGUAAAGUAAAAGGGCCGAGACAAAACUGACAUUUAUUUCGGCCUGCUAAAGGCCCGUGAGCCAUUUCCAUUUAUACGGCCCUAUCAAGCUUUAGGCCUGUUGACGGCCUGCUAAGAGUCGUUGUUACGGUGGGCCACAUCAUUUGGGAUCCACUUAAUAUUAUUUUGACCAACCCAAUUAAGGCCCACUUUGACUACACAUGUUUGUUUGUUUGUAUGGCGUCCAGGCAAUGUUUGGUCAUCUUGGCCCCCGUUUCAAUGGUAUAGCAUAUUCAAGAAAUAUCCUACUCUAUACUAUUGCCUCUAAAAAACAUACACUAUACAAUAAAAAAGACUAAGGCAUAGCAACUAGAAUAAUCCUACACUAUACAAUAAAGAAAUUACAACCGAAUAUACCCACCGAGCAUUAUAGUUAGGCACCAGUGAUAAUAAAGCGUACACAAACAGCAAAUUACAUACACUGGACAAAUAAAGCUCAUACAUCAUGGACACACAUCAAUAUAACUUACCAUCUGAACUAUAAUCUCUUCAGAAAAUAGGAUUGGCCGGAUUCAGAUAACACAAAUUUCAGUCUGCAAAAUCUCCAAUUCCUUCAUGGUUACCUCAGUGUCUUGUUUCAUUUUUUUGACUCAUGCAUCUAAUACCUGCAUGUCCAGUCUCAACUUGUUGAUUAUACGUUGACAAUCAUGUACACGUUGUCUUGCCACCUCUAGUUAAUGCUCGAGAACAUUAGCACAUUCUAGUUCCAAUUCAUAAUCAUUCGGUAACGGCCAUGUCGCACUGCUCGCAGAUCUUUGUGUUAAUGUCACUUCAUCCUGAAUUGUUUCUGUAAGUACACAUGACUAGGGCAAAAAUAUAGUUACAACAGUGAAGCGAGCAAGACUAUUUUGUACAUGGAAAAACAAGACUAACAAUAAUGUUAUACGUCAUGAAGCAUAAGCAGAUGAUAUUUUAAAAAUUAUAAAAAAGAUAGUCUGUGCAGCCUGCAUACAGAAAUCUCUCUUAGCUCACCAGAGGAGCAUGAUGUUGGGGCCCAAUCCAAAACACAGACAAGUUACAAAUUUAGACAGCACGUUGCGUAUAAGUAAGCAAGCAGUUGGCCAUUCUGUAUCUCAAUUAAAGUCUUAGGAAGCAUAAUGAACAGUAGAGGGAUUCAUACAAACCUACUACAACAAGCAAAACUAUGCAAUCAUUAGCCUAAUAUAAACUAGAUUGUGAGCCUCAUGCAAUAAUAGUUGGUUAAUAGACUUCAAAGCUUCAGGCACACUUCGAUGGAGUAAUUAAAUGGUAAGGCCUUUAAUUAUUUCAACUAAUAGUUAUACAAGUACCCAACAUCAGGCAUCAUUGUUUGGGCAUCUCAUUAACUAAGGACAAAUAAAACAAUUGAAAAGAGCAAAUUAACUAUGCCUGAAACAAACAAGGAAUUGAACUAUUGAGUUGGAUACAAUGACUUACCUUAACUGGUUGAAGAGGCUCAGCACAGCUCCUACUUCUCUUGCAAGGCUCCUUCCUAACAUCUUGUACUUGGAAAUCCUCAAUCUUAUCUUCAUUGCACCCCCUCAGCAAGGUGACACAAACUACUUACUCGUCUCCUUGGAAGAUAAAUAUGCAUACUUUCCAGUCCGUGAACAACACAAAAGGAUGAGAUUAUAACAAAACAACACCACAUAACGAAACAUGCCACAUCUCUUGCACUUGCACACAAUGAAAUGAGCAUUUACUAUGUUUGCACUAUGUAAAAACUAGGCAUAGCUUCUAACUGGAUCUCCAGGUACUCUUGGAGAGCCUACUUUAGUGUACAGCCAAACCUUUAUGUCACCUAUGAGUUAGACAAGGCCCCACUACAACAGCCCUUAGUGUUUAAAUUAUUGACAGGCUUUGUUAGAGUGUUAGGUCAAGAAUAACAAGUAAUCAAAGCAAACAGUCCUAGUAUGGCUGGCUGAUGCAAACAAGCAAUUGAACAGAUGUGUGAGCAAAUCUUACAUAUCAAGAAAAGAAGCAAAGAAAGGAGGCUUAAAGACCAUCACUUGACUAACCAGAUUUAAGGGGCAUUUAAACAUCAUGUGCAAUGUAUGAACUAACAUAAACAUUGCAUAUUCCAGAUUCUACAAUGGAAUGCACAUGUAUUAGGUUAUGCCAUGUAUGAUGAUGCCUAAAUGUACAUUAUAGCAGGCAGGAGUGAUUCAUCAUUGCACGCACAAUUGAAUUGCAGGUUAAGGGCCAGUUCGAUUCCGCCUUCAGGGCUUAUUGUCAAAAUAAGCCAUAAAAGAUGUAAAAAAGUCAUUUUUGAGUUAUGGGCUUGGGCUUAACUUAUUUUGCUUUGGAGGGGGGUGUUUCGGGUAGAACCUCACUAAAAAUUGAAGGGAAGGGGUGAAAGAUCGUGGAUGUCGCCUAGAGGGGGGGAGGGGGUUGAAUAGGCGCUUUAAAAUAAUUACGAUUUAGGCUUGAGCAAAUGCGGAAUAAACCUAGCGGUUAAUUUGUCAAGCACAAAACCUACAACAACUAGGCUCACCUAUGUGCACCAACAACUUAUGCUAAGCAAGAUAAACAACUAAGUGAUAGCAAGAUAUAUGACAAGAAACAAUAUGGCUAUCACAAAGGUAAAGUGCAUAAGUAAAGGGCUCGGGUAAGAGAUAACCGAGGCACGCAGAGACGACGAUGUAUCCCAAAGUUCACACCCUUGCAGAUGCUAAUCUCCGUUUGGAGCGGUGUGGAGGCACAAUGCUCCCCAAGAAGCCACUAGGGCCACUGUAAUCUCCUCACGCCCUCGCACAAUGCAAAAUGCCAUGAUUCCACUAAGGGACCUUUGAGGGCGGUCACCAAACCCGUACAAAUGGCAACCCUUGGGGGCAGUCACCGAACCCGUACACUUUGGCAACCCUUGGGGGCGGUCACCGGUACCUGUCAAAUUGCUCGGGGCAAUCUUCACAACCUAAUUGGAGACCCCGAUGCUUGCCCGGAGCUUUACACCACAAUAAUUAAGCUCCGAACACCACCAACCGUCUAGGGCGCCCAAGCACCCAAGAGGAACAAGCUCAAGGGUACCAAGCACCCAAGAGUAAUAAGCUUCUCAACUUGUAACUUCCACGUAUCACCAUGGAGAACUCAAACGGAUGCACCAAAUGCAAUGGCAAGGGCACACGGAGUGCCCAAGUCCUUCUCUCCCAAAUCCCACCGAAGCAACUAAUGCUAGGGAGGAAAAUGAGAGGAAGAACAAGAAGGAGAACAUCAAGAACUCCAAGAUCUAGAUCCAAGGGGUUCCCCUCACAUAGAGGAGAAAGUGAUUGGUGGAAAUGUGGAUCUAGAUCUCCUCUAUCUUCCCCCCCAAAAACUAGCAAGAAUCCAUGGAGGGAUUGAGAGAUAGCAAGCUCGGAGAAGGUCAACAAUGGGGGAAGAACACGAGCUCGAAAGGAUAAGGUUGAAUGGGGAAGAAGACCCCCUUUUAUAAGAGCUCCCGAAUCCAACCGUCAUGUGCCCAGUCCGCGCACGAGCGGUACUACCGCACUACGUAGCGGUAAUACCGCUAGGCCCAGCGGUAGUACCAUUGGAUCUUUGCACAAAGGCUGGAAAGAAGGGGCAAGGAGGAGGAGGCCCCCGAGCGGUACUAGUAGCGGAGGUAGAGCGGUAGUACCGCGCCUACUGUCGCUCCUACUACCGCCCAACCCGACACGAGAGGCGACGCCCUCGAAUCGAGGCGGUACCAGCGUAGAACAGGAGCAGUACUACCGCUGAUGGCCAUGAACGGUACUACCGAUGAACAGCGGUACUACCGCUUGAGGCUGUCAGCGGUACUGCCGCUCAAGCCUGGCGGUACUGCCGCUGACUCCUCCCAAGUGCCCCUUCCACGAAAACAAAUAAACUCCAAGGAAAAUCAGAACUGCCACAACUUCUGCAAAUGAGCUCCAAGUUGAGCAAACUCAAGCUUGUUAUAGUAAGACGAGGUAGGGGAGGUAUGCCUAACAAAAAGAGGAGAGAAACCUCCAACAGAGAAGAACCGACAGAACCUUCGACAUCGAAAACAUCAUAGAAGAUGCAUGUGAACUCCGUUUUCAAUGAACUCAAGCUUGUCAUCAAGAUGACCAUAAGCUCCAAAUCUCACAAGGAGAACCAAACAAGAACCAAGAAAGAUGAUGCAAGGAGGAAAUGGUUUGAGCUCUCUACUAAUGUUACGAUAAAGCUACUCAUCGAGAGCCCUCCUUGCUAGUACGACAAUCGAUCCUAAAGCCCGGUCUCCCAACUACCACCAUGAGACCGGUAAAAUAGAAAACCUAUCAAGGGAAAACCUUUGCCUUGCACAUGGUCCACUUGAGCUAGAUGAUGACGAACUUGUCCUCCUCAAGAUGGACCUCCUUUGUUGAUUGCGUUGGAUCGAUGAAGACUAGAUGAAUGCUCCCCCAUACUCCACUAUGGGUGAGCCACUCUUCGGCACAUCUUCACAAGUACAUAGACACCAAAAUGGAUGACAAGCUUCAAUCAUUUGGUCUCUUCGUGAUGCUCCACUUAAACUUGCACACAACAAUCUUGAUGACAAUUACCACUUGAUGUUUCUUCUCCAUGAGUUGAGUGAUAUCUUCCUCUUGACGCAAGCCCAUGAACACGUACCUAACCCCACAUAGAACUCUCACAUAGACCAUGGGUUAGUACACAAAGUACAAUGGACAAUGCUUACCAUACCAUGGGAUCACUUGAUCCCUCUCGGUACAACUUCUACGCUUUGUGAGUUGAUCAACUUGAUUCACUCUUGACUUAGUCUUGGUCAACCUUGAAUCUUUCCAACUCUCUUCAUUUGGAUGAUGUCUUGAAGGUAAACAUGAAUGAUUACACAAUCUUCUUCUUCAAGACAUGCUUGCAAUAAGCACAACACUCACAUAACCAAUCUUUGGAUAAUUCCUUAAUAGCACCUUGGUCAACACAUAAACUCCUUGAAACCAACACAUGGACUUCAAGAAGAGCCUAUGGACAAAUCCUUCAAAUAUAAAUCAAUGCAACCAUUAGUCCAUAGAGAGUGUCAUCAAUUACCAAAAUCACACAUGGGGGCACCACAUGUCCUUUCAAGGGGAAUAGUGAAAUGACUCUGUUGUCUGCCUAUGUUACACUCAAAAUGCAACUGCUCACGCUCGUGUCACACUUGACCCUCAAAUAAAAACAAACACGC
rnacentral:lncRNA from 1 species